AAGGAUGGGUCUUCAAGAGCUUGCUCUUCUGAGUGAGUGCUUAUCGACCUGUUUUAGAAACAUCAGGAGCUCUAAGUCAUACGAGCUCCAUUGGCGGGACCCGCCGUCUUCGUUUCUCUUUCUUCGCGGACGAACACGCGCCUGGGGCGGCGCUGCGCUUUUAGCUUGAAGCUGGGUGCAGGAUUACUGCCUCUCGUGCUGAGGGCUUGUAGCUCAGUUGGUUAGAGCGCGCGCUUGAUAAGCGUGAGGUCGGAAGUUCAAGUCUUCCCAGGCCCACCAUUUUAUCGAGCGCUGCAUUCGUCUUCUGGUUACGGGGCCAUAGCUCAGCUGGGAGAGCGCGUGCUUUGCAAGCAUGAGGUCGUCGGUUCGAUCCCGUCUGGCUCCACCAGAUGGGCGACCCUUGAUGACGGCUUGCGCCGGUUAAUCGUCCGCGAGACACAACUUCGCGUGCUGCCUUUGAGGCAAGCAUUGCGGGAUAUCUGACAUCGUGAAGAGGAGAUCGAUCCGAGUUUAGGGUCUGUGGCGUCAAGCUGCGGGUCUUAAUCACUAUCUCCGGAUCAUUUUUCGGCGCUUGGCCAUCGGCCAAGUUGUAAAAAUGAUCUUUGUUGGCGACGCUUGACCGCAUCGCCAUCGGUUCGAUCUUAUGAAGCAAGCUGGUCUUUCUAAUCAAUGAUCCGUCUGCAUGUGAUGCGCCUCACCCGCGCGCUUCUCACUUGAGAAGCUAGCCUGCAGAACAUUCUGCCGAGUGUGUGGACAUUGAUAAUGAGAGCAAUCAA
rnacentral:tRNA from 1 species